rnacentral:rRNA from 1 species
AACGAACGCUGGCGGCAUGCCUAACACAUGCAAGUCGAACGAGACCUUCGGGUCUAGUGGCGCACGGAUGCGUAACGCGUGGGAACCUGCCCUUAGGUUCGGAAUAACUCCCCGAAAGAGGUGCUAAUACCGGAUCAUGUCUUCGGACCAAAGAUUUAUCGCCUUUGGAUGGGCCCGCGUUGGAUUAGCUAGUUGUUAGGGUAAAAGCCUACCAAGGCGAGGAUCCAUAGCUGGGCUGAGAGGAUGAUCAGCCACACUGGUACUGAGACACGGCCCAGACUACUACGGGAGGCAGGAGUGGGUAAUAUUGGAAAGUGGGGGAAGGCAUGAAGGACCUAUGCCGCGUAAGUGAUGAAGGCCUUAGGGUUGUAAAGCUCUUUUACCCCGGAUGGUAAUGACGGUACCGGGAGAAUAAGCUCCGGCUAACUCCGUG